UACGUAGGGUGCAAGCGUUAAUCGGAAUUACUGGGCGUAAAGCGUGCGCAGGCGGUUCGCAAAGUCUGAUGUGAAAGCCCCGGGCUCAACCUGGGAACUGCAUUGGAAACUAACGGGCUCGAGUGUGGCAGAGGGGGGUGGAAUUCCACGUGUAGCAGUGAAAUGCGUAGAGAUGUGGAGGAACACCGAUGGCGAAGGCAGCCCCCUGGGCUAACACUGACGCUCAGGCACGAAAGCGUGGGGAGCAAACAGG
rnacentral:rRNA from 1 species